UGGGCAUGGAGACUUAAAAGAUUAGAAC
rnacentral:piRNA from 1 species